AUGGACCAGCCCGAGAGCUCUCUCCCCCAUGCCGCGGUCCAGAAGGGGCAGACCCCACGCCGCGAGGAGCUCGUGCGGCUCAUCGCGCAGUCGCUCUACUCCCUCGGUUACCGGAAGGCGGCAGCCACGCUUGAGGCGGAGUCCGGUGUGCCGCUGUACCCCCCGGAGCACGACCGCCUCCUGCUCGACGUAAUGUCUGGCCGGUGGGACGCGUGCGCGGCCACUAUUGACUCUCUUACCGGCAUUACCGAAAGGAACCGUGCGGUCGCGGAGUUUUUGGUGUGGAGAGGGCACUUCCUGGAGCUGCUGGGCACUGGGGACGCUGGUCUACGCCUUGCAACGGAGGUGCUCUCGCGUCGGAUCGCCCCUCUUGCCAUCGACAGAAGAUGUGUGCACUGGCUGGCUCGCGCAGUGGUCACGUCCGAGGGCGCGGUUGCACCAGAGGCUGUGGCUGAAUGCAGGAUUGGGCUUUUCUUGGAUUUGGUUGAGGCGUUGCCGCCAUGGUUCCGUGUGCCAAGUGGGCGGCUUGAGCAUUUGGUGGAGACUGCGGUUAUUCAGCAGGUUGCUUCGUGCAUAUAUCAUAAUCUGCCGGAUGAGGUCACUCUAUUUGAGGAUCACAAGUGCCAUGAAGAGCAGAUCCCUUCCGACUGUGCGCAGAUAUUAUGUGCUCAUAAAAACGAAGUUUGGUUUGUAAGGUUUUCAAAUGAUGGAAACUACCUGGCAUCAUCUUCAAGUGAUUGUACGGCCAUCAUUUGGAAGGUGGAAGAAGAUGAUACAUUAACCAAGAAGUACUGCCUCGAGGGUCACAAAAGUCCUAUUUCCUUUGUUGCGUGGAGCCCAAAUGAUAGAAUGCUUCUCACUUGUGGUAAUGGGGAAUCUUUAAAACUGUGGAAUGUUGAUACUGGUGAAUGCAAUCUUAAAUUUGGUGCUUCAGUAAAACACAUCAUCGCGUCGUGUGCAUGGUUUCCAAAUUCGGAGAAAAUAGUAUGUGCCAGCUGUGAACCAGAAAGUUCUCCAAAUAUGAUUUUCACUUGUGACCUAGAAGGCCAAGAACUGGAAAUGUGGGCUGGAGAGAGAAUACCUAAAGUUAGUGAUCUUGCUGUGACACCUGAUGGCCAACAUCUAAUCUGUGUAUGUCCUAACGAAAUCUGGAUCCGAGAACUUCGGAAGGGGCGGGAAUGGAAAAUUCCUGAACGGCAGACAAUAUCAUCUCUUUCUCUUUCAGGUGAUGGACAGUCAAUGAUUGUCAACCUUAAUAGCCAGGAAAUUCAUUUGUGGAAAACCAAUGGAAGUUCUAGAGUGCCCGAUAAAUACAAGGGGCACAAGCAAGGAAAGUUUGUGAUUAGAUCAUGCUUUGGAGGAUCAGACUAUCUGUUCAUUGCUAGUGGCAGUGAGGAUUCACAGGUGUACAUUUGGCAAAGAGGCAUGGAGAUGCCGAUAAAGGUCCUAUAUGGGCACUCAAUGACUGUAAAUUGUGUAAGCUGGAACCCCGCGAGGCCCCAGAUGUUGGCUUCCGCAAGUGAUGACCGUACAGUUCGAAUAUGGCUAGCGCACAAACCCCACAGUUUGACUUGA
rnacentral:rRNA from 1 species